CGCGUGGGACGAGCUAAAGGAAGCUGGCACUUUGAAGAACGACAUCCAGAACAUCAUAGACGCCCUCAACACACACCACAGGAACGUCAACAUUUCCAGAGUCACCGGAAGUUCUGUUGCUGUCGCCACUGGGUUGCCUGCAGCAGCCUGCGCCAUUGCCGCGCCCUUCACCGCAGGGUUGACCUUGAUACCAGCCAUUGUCCUGGGCAUCAUCGCCGCCGUUGGUGGAGGUGUGUCUGUCGGCGCAACAGUCGCAGAAUAUUUCAU